rnacentral:lncRNA from 1 species
GCAACCCUCAAGGACCAGCUGACUGUGAUUCUUCUUAAGGAAAAAUUGUCUCCAGCAAAGACUAUUGUGUAACUGCAAACUCCAAGCGGGUCAUCAUCAUAGGGGGGCCGUCAGCAAGAGGGAGAGAGCCGACUCAAUAUGGUCCAGCGAAAUGUGAACAUCUUCAAGUUCACCAUUCCAAACUCUGUGAAGUACAGUCCACACUGCAAGCUGCUGAUUGUCUCAAAUUCAGUGGAUAUCUUGACCUAUGUGGCUUGGAAAACCAGUGGCUUUCCCAAAAGCCAAGUUAUCGGAAGUGGUUGCCAUCUGGAUUCAGCUCAGUUCCAUUACCUGAUGGGAGAAAGGCUGGGGGUUCACCCUGAGCUGUCACGGCUGGGUCCUGGGAGAACAUGGCGACUCCAGUGUGCCUGUGUGGAGUGGUGUGAAUGUUGUCUGCAUCUCCCUGAAGUCUCUGAACCCAGAACUGGGCACUGAUGCAGACAAGGAGCAGUGGAAGGAGGUUCACAAGCAGGUGGUGGGCAGUGCAUAGGAGGUGAUCAAGCUGAGAGGUUACACAUCCUGGGCCAUUGGCCUCUCUGUGGCAGACUUGGCCAAGAGCAUAAUGAAGAACCUUAGGUGGGUGCAUCCCAUUUCCACCAUGAUUAAGGGUCUCUAUGGAAUCAAUGAUGAUGUCUUCCUCAGUGUCCCGUGUAUCCUGGGACAAAAUGGAAUCUCAGAUAUUGUGAAGGUGACACUGACUCCUGAGAAAGAGGCCCGCCUGAAGAAGAGUGCAGAUACCCUUUUUCUGCAGUUCUAA